CUUGUGCCAGCAGCCGCGGUAAUACAGAGGGUGCAAGCGUUCAUCGGAAUUACUGGGCGUAAAGCGCGCGUAGGUGGUUCGUUAAGUUGGAUGUGAAAUCCCCGGGCUCAACCUGGGAACUGCAUUCAAAACUGACGAGCUAGAGUAUGGUAGAGGGUGGUGGAAUUUCCUGUGUAGCGGUGAAAUGCGUAGAUAUAGGAAGGAACACCAGUGGCGAAGGCGACCACCUGGACUGAUACUGACACUGAGGUGCGAAAGCGUGGGGAGCAAAC
rnacentral:rRNA from 1 species